UUUAUACUCCCUCCGUCCGAAAAUACUUGUCAUCAAAAUGGAUAAAAAGGGAUGUAUGUAGAACUAAAAUACGUCUAGAUACCUCUUCUUUUAUCCAUUUGAUGACAAGUAUUUCCGGACGGAGGGAGUAUGUA
rfam:Triticum aestivum genome assembly, contig: Triticum_aestivum_CS42_TGACv1_scaffold_328486_4BS